rnacentral:rRNA from 1 species
UACGUAGGGGGCAAGCGUUGUCCGGAAUCAUUGGGCGUAAAGCGCGCGUAGGCGGCCCGAUAAGUCUGCUGUAAAAGUCAACGGCUCAACCGUUGAAAGCCGGUGGAUACUGUCGGGCUAGAGUUCGGAAGAGGCAAGUGGAAUUCCUGGUGUAGCGGUGGAAUGCGCAGAUAUCAGGAGGAACACCUAUAGCGAAGGCAGCUUGCUGGGACGAAACUGACGCUAAGGCUCGAAAGCGUGGGGAGCGAACAGG